CUGAGUCAGAGUUUGCGCCAGUCGCCCUGAAGGUGACAGCCGUUGUGCGACGUCGUAGAGAAGCCAUGGGGAGGCAAUGGGGACCCUCCAUGAGAGUAGCGGAGCAGGCGGGCUGCGUGGUGAGCGCCUCGCGGGAGGGACAGCCUGACGCGGGCUCGUGGAGCUGCAGUGGGGUGAUCCUGAGCCGCAGCCCAGGCCUAGUGCUGUGCCAUGGGGGCAUCUUCACCCCUUUCCUGAAGACGGGCAGCGCGGCGCUGACCCAGACGGGCGCCGCCUUCCUGCCGGGCGACAGUUGCAGCGAUGACCUGCGUCUCCACGUGCAGUGGGGACCCACGGCGGCCAGCCCCGCCGGCCGCGCGGACCAGGAACUCCCGGGGCUCUGCACGCCCCAGUGCGCAAGCCUGGGUCUCGAACCCGGCGCCCCAAGCCGGACCCGCGUGCGACCUCUGCAGCCCCCGCGGCCGGCGCAGCUGCUGUUGCUGCUCAGCUGCCCGGCCUUCCGCUCGCACUUCGCGCGGCUCUUCGGGGCCGAAGCGGCCGAUCAGUGGCACUUCGUGAGCUCGGCGCCCGACGACGCGGUGUCGGAGGAGGAGGAAGAGGACCAGCUGCGCGCGCUCGGCUGGUUCGCCCUGCUGCGGGUGCAGCGGGGCGCGGCUGCGGCGGAGGAGAGGCGCGGGCCUGCGGUGACCGUGGCACCGCUUGGGGCCGUGGCCAAGGGCGCGCCGCUGCUGGCUUGUGGCUCUCCGUUCGGUGCCUUCUGCCCGGACAUCUUCCUCAACACGCUGAGCCGCGGCGUUCUCAGCAACGCGUCCGGGCCGCUGCUGCUCACCGAUGCGCGCUGCCUGCCGGGCACGGAAGGCGGCGGAGUAUUCGCCGCUCGACCUGCGGGCGCGCUGGUGGCUCUGGUGGCCGCGCCGCUCUGCUGGAAGGCCCGCGAGUGGGUGGGGCUCACGUUGCUGUGCGCCGCCGCCCCGCUGCUUCAGGUUGCCCGUUGGGCGCUCGCCCGCCUGCAUCCCGGCUCCGCCUCGUUGUCAGUGCUGCUGCCACCCGAUGUGGGCGUGUCACGGGGCCUGCCCCUGAGAGAUUUCGGACCCCCGUGGGCGGCCGCGGCGGUGCUGGUAGAGUGUGGUACCGUGUGGGGCUCCGGAGUGGCCGUGGCACCUCGCCUGGUGGUGACCUGCCGUCACGUGGCACCCCGGGAAGCAGCCAGGGUCUUGGUACACUCGGCUACACCCAAGUAAGGCCCAGGAUUGCCCACCCUCACCAGGCUCCCCCAGUGUUAGAGACCUCGGUUCAUUUUUGAUAACCAGAACCCCGGUGAGGGGAUCUGGGCCUCUUGGUAGGGCCUAGCAAAGCUUAAGCAAAUUGCCAGGCACAAGCGACUUUUAGCAUGGUGACCCGUGGGGCUGUGGGCAGGUAGGACUGGGUACCUUUGAACCAUUUAACCUGAAACUCUUUGGGCAGCUUCUCUGUCUCAUGGCUUUGCAGUUUAGGCUCCAUUAAAGCCCUUUGGCCAUAGAAGGCGUCCCCUCAGGACUUCAACCCUGUGAUAGACAGAGGCCUAUAAUGGAAUCCUGUAAAGUCAGUUGAUGAUUGACACGGCCUACCAAUGAGGGCUCCCUUCCGGCCUCACCAGGGCUGCUUUGCCACCUGAAGAUGAAGCAAGGUGGGCCUAAUUAGAGCAUAGGGCUUGGACCCAUUUGACCCCAGAGUGCAGCUAGGCAGGGACUUUGGACAAUCGACUUACUUCCUCCGCAGAGAGACACACCUUUGCCCUCCUUUCCUUGUGGCGGCAGUAGGCCAGUGGCCUCUGCGGCCUGGCAUGGGUGUCUAUGGUUCUGUGUCCUCUGUAGCCCCAGAUACUUAACUUAGGACCAAAAAGCACCUUGGCUUUAAGCUUGGCCCGCACCUCUUAGCCCAGGCCUGUCCGAACUUCUGAGGUUAGCCCCGUAUGCUAAUGGAAGCCAGCUUUGCCAGAGCCCUCACGGUCAGGCAACUGAACAGUUCUAGUUUCCUAGUGAAAAGGAGGGUUGCCUGCGGUGUGCCCCCACCCCCCAACUUCUCGCUCUCCCUUCGGUUGCCGAUCUUAACGACAUCACCAGGUUUUUCUGGAAGCAGCCAUCCCGCAGAGUAAGUAACAGGAUGCCUCUGUGUCUGGUCUGUAUAGUGAGUUCCUGGACAGCUAGGGCUAUGGAGAGAGACCCUGUCUCAAAAAAGAAGUCUCUUUCCCCUCCCCACCCCAUGCCUGCCCAGGAGUGAAGCCAUACAGUUUUGCUAGGCUGGUCCUGGCUCCUUACUGUUUACUCUGUGACCUUUAGGAAGGUUGCUUGGCCUCCCUGAGCCUCAGCUGCCCCAUCUAAAGGGGAUGAUACCAGGGCCUUGGGUUCAAGAGGAAGAAGACAGACAGUGUCCACAAGCAUCAGCAAGGCCUGGCCACAGCGCUCACUAGGUUGUGGAAUGUGGCAAUCUGGGGACGAGUGGUGUUCGCCACUCAGGAGACCUCCCCAUAUGACAUAGCAGUGGUAAGCCUGGAG